CUGGCGGGUGCUACACUGCAGUCGAGCGGAGUUAAUUAGAAUCUUGCUUCUUUCUAACCGCGGACGGGUAAGGGUUGCUAACACGUCUGCCACCUGCCCGGGGACAGGGAUUCCUACCGGAAACGGUACCUAAUACCCGAUACAUCCUUUUCCUGCAUGGGAGAAGGAGAAAGGCUGAGCAUCUGUCACUUGUGGAUGGGCCUGCGGCGCAUUAGCUAGUUGGUGGGGUAACGGCCUACCAAGGCGACUAUGCGUAGCCGACCUGAGAGGGUGAUCGGCCACACUGGGACUGCACACGGCCCAGACUCCUACGGGAGGUGCAGUAGGGAAUCUUCCGCAAUGGGCGAAAGCCUGACGGAGCAACGCCGCGUGAGUAUGAAGGUUUUCGGAUCGUAAAGCUCUGUUGCCAGGGAAGAACGUCUUGUAGAUUAACUGCUCCAACAGUGACGGUACCUGAAAGAAAGCCCCGGCUAACUACGUGCCACCAGCCGCGGUAAUACUUAUGGGGCAAGCGUUGUCCGGAAUUAUUGGGCGUAAAGCGCGCGCAGGCGGCUCUUUAACUCUGGUGUUUAAUCCCAACGCUCAACUUCAGGUCGCACUGGAAACUGGGGAGCUUGAGUGCAAAUUACGAGAGUGGAAUCACCCUGGUAACAUAAAAGCCCAAAAAAAA
rnacentral:rRNA from 1 species